rnacentral:rRNA from 1 species
UACGGAGGGCUCAAGCGUUGUUCGGAUUUAUUGGGCGUAAAGGGUGCGUAGGCGGCUCGGUAAGUCGGGUGUGAAAUCCCGGGGCUUAACCUUGGAACUGCAUUCGAUACUGCCGGGCUUGAGGUCUGGAGAGGAGAGUGGAAUUUACGGUGUAGCGGUGAAAUGCGUAGAUAUCGUAAGGAAGACCAGUGGCGAAGGCGGGUCUCUGGACAGAUACUGACGCUGAGGCACGAAAGCGUGGGGAGCAAACAGG